rnacentral:tRNA from 1 species
GUUGUGGCUCAGUGGCAGAGUGUUCGCCUAGCACCUGUUAGGCCCUGGGUUCAAUCCUCAGCACACA